rnacentral:lncRNA from 1 species
UCGACAUUCUAUCAUUUGUGUUUCAGUCGUACAACAAGGUGUUUAAAAAUAUUAAAGAGUCAAAUUGUGAAAAAGUGUAUUGGUAGCUGAAAAAGUGUUUUAAUAGUGUGAACGAAGAAGAAAAUAGUUCUCUGGAAAUGGCUGCCGGAAAUUGGGCUUUAUUGAGGAAAUUGCAAGUACGGUUAGGCGAAGAACCGGGAGGCUAGCAGAGGCGACAUACUUAAGCAUGAGCUUUAAAGGAAUUCAAUGAGAACAGAUGAAAUCUAGGCACAGGGCUGACUUUUUGGAUGUUUUUUUCAAACACAUUUGGCCGUCCAUUAGCUGUUACUGCGUACCCUAGUUACCAAUUAGGCAGGCUGAUUCGGUGAGGAAUCUAUGCAGAACAUACAGACAGGCAGGCAGGCUUAUUACAUGGGCAUUUACUUACAUACAUAUGUGUUGGAAAGAAUUCAAAGGCAGGUGUAAGAUACGAUUUCGGGCAGAAAACUGCGUUGAAAAAUGUCUGUGUAAAGCCUAGAGCAUGAGUAAUCCAAUGGAUUUGGGAAGAUGAGUAAGUUGUUGGGCGUCUUUGAAAAGCAAUUUUGUCGUUUAUACUACUUCCGCUACAUGCAAACAUUAGUCUAUAACUAAAUGUUAUUGCAGUUUGCUGAUAAAAACUGAAACACUACUCAGUUAUAAUGACAAUAAUUGACCAUAGGCGCAGAGCUCCUCGUUCGUAAGAAACUGAAGACAAAGCGAUAAACCCAUCUACUACAAUAUCCAUAGUAUAUCUUCUUCGACAUUGUUGUUUCUUCUACUGCCAAAAAGGUCCUUGUCAUCGACGGUAGAGUAAUGUUAUGAUGCAGAAUUGGUAUUUGUUUUGUUCCACUUACUUACAUAGGAUAUACUGUUCAUAUAAAUAUAAAUAUACGUACGUUAAAAACCCCCAGUUUAGCACAAAUUGUUAAGAAACCUAACACAAAUAAUUUUUUUUAUUAUAAAAAAACGUUGAAUUAUAUAUUUUAAAGGCUGAAAGAGUAAACCAAAUGACUCCGUAUGUACAUAUGUCUUAAACUUACAUAAAUCAAACUUAUUGAAAUAUUGUUUUAUCGGUCUCUUACAUAAUUAUGUUAAUACAAAAUUACUGCGUUAUUUAUCAGAUAUGACAAAACCAAUUUAUAUAAAUCAAAACCAAACACAAUGCAGAAAAAAACAUAAAAAAAGCUAAAAAAAAUUAAGAAAAGCAUUACAACGAAGGUAAAAAUAAAUAACUAUUCCUUCCCACUU